rnacentral:rRNA from 1 species
UACGUAGGCAGCAAGCGUUGUUCGGAGUUACUGGGCGUAAAGGGUGCGUAGGCGGCCUUAUAAGUAUGGUGUGAAAUCUCCCGGCUUAACUGGGAGGGUGCGCUAUAGACUGUGGGGCUAGAGUGUGGGAGAGGAAAGUGGAAUUCCUGGUGUAGCGGUGAAAUGCGUAGAUAUCAGGAGGAACACCGGUGGUGUAAACGGCUUUCUGGACCAUUGUUGACGCUGAGACACGAAAGCGUGGGUAGCAAACAGG